GAUGAACGCUAGCGGGAGGCCUAAUACAUGCAAGUCGAACGGUAAGGUCCCUUCGGGGAUACACGAGUGGCGGACGGGUGCGUAACGCGUACGAAACAUACCUUCAACAGGGAGAUACCUCCGGGAAACUGGAAAUAAUACCCCAUAGUAUUGAGAUAUCGCAUGAUAUUUCAAUUAAAGCUUUGGCGGUUGAAGAUUGUCGUGCGUCUGAUUAGCUAGUUGGUGAGGCAACGGCUCACCAAGGCGACGAUCAGUAGCUGGUCUGAGAGGAUGAUCAGCCACACUGGAACUGAGACACGGUCCAGACUCCUACGGGAGGCAGCAGUAGGGAAUAUUGGGCAAUGGGCGCAAGCCUGAUCCAGCCAUGCCGCGUGAGUGAAGAAGGCCUCGGUUGUAAG
rnacentral:rRNA from 1 species